GAACGCUAGCUACAGGCUUAACACAUGACAAGUCGAGGGCAGCACGUAGGUAGACAAUACGUGAGGCGGUUUUCGACCGGCGCGACGGGUGCGUAACGCGUAUGACAACCUACUAUAACAGGGGGAUAACACUGAGAAAUUGGUACUAAUACCCCGUAACAUCAGAGGAGGCAUCUUCUUUGGUUGAAAGUUCCGGCGGUUAUAGAUGGGCAUGCGUUGUAUUAGCUAGUUGGUGGGGUAAUGGCUCACCAAGGCGACGAUACAUAGGGGGACUGAGAGGUUAACCCCCCACAUUGGUACUGAGACACGGACCAAACUCCUACGGGAGGCAGCAGUGAGGAAUAUUGGACAAUGGAUGGAAAUCUGAUCCAGCCAUGCCGCGUGCAGGAUGACGGCCCUAUGGGUCUUAAACUGCUUUUGUACGGGAGCAAUAAGUACUACGUGUAGUAUGAUGAGAGUACCGUACGAAUAAGCAUCGGCUAACUCCGUG
rnacentral:rRNA from 1 species